GACGCGGCUGUGAAAGCAAGCCAGUAAGAAUAGUAUAUUUCAUUCCGGAAGAAAAAACCGUAAUAAUUUCAUAAUGAAGCUUAUCGCCGACCACGUGCCACGAUAUAGAGAUGAAUAAGACAGCAUCACGGAUACGUAGUUUCAGGACGUCAAGAUCUAUUGGUUUGUUAUGGUAGACUUCCUUUUUCAAACAAACCCCCAAAGAUAAAACUACAAAGGAGUGAAAUCGGGGGAUCUCUUCAUUUUACUCAAAAGCAAGACUGGCAUGUUUACUGUUUCAACCAGUUUGAAGAAUGAGACACAUUUGACAAGAGUGAUGGAAAAUUGGAAUCUGACAGGGAGGUUUGGAAUUGUGGC